rnacentral:misc_RNA from 1 species
GAUGAAGAACGUAGUGAAAUGCGAUAAGUAAUGAGAAUUGCAGAAUUCAGUGAAUCAUCGAAUCUUUGAACGCACAUUGCGCCCUCUGGUAUUCCGGGGGGCAUGCCUGUUCGAGCGUCAUUAUAACCACUCAAGCUCUCGCUUGGUAUUGGGGUUCGCGGUUCCGCGGCCCCUAAAAUCAGUGGCGGUGCCUGUCGGCUCUACGCGUAGUAAUACUCCUCGCGAUUGAGUCCGGUAGGUCUACUUGCCAGCAACCCCCAAUUUUUACAGGUUGACCUCGGAUCAGGUAGGGAUACCCGCUGAACUUAAGCAUAUCAAUAAGCGGAGGA